AACUUGUAACUCAUUAAGUUGUAGAUGUUAUCCAAGUUUGGCUGAUGUUCCCUUUGAUAUACAUAUAGGUGGAGUUGAUCUAACUUGUAACUCAUUAUUAUAUAAUAAGUUGUAGAUGUUAUCCAAGUUUGGCUGAUCUAACUUGUAACUCAUUAAGUUGUAGAUGUUAUCCAAGUUUGGUUGAUGUUCCCUUUGAUAUAGGUGGAGUUGAUCUAACUUGUAACUCAUUAAGUUGUAUAUGUUAUCCAAGUUUGACUGAUGUUCCCUUUGAUAUUAGGUGGAGUUGAUCUAACUUGUAACUCAUUAAGUUGUAUAUGUUAUCCAAGUUUGACUUAUGUUACCUUUGAUAUAGGUGGAGUUGAUCUAACUUGUAACUCAUUAAGUUGUAGAUGUUAUCCAAGUUUGGCUGAUGUUACCUUUUAUAUUCAGGUAGAAUUAAUCUAACUUUAAGCUGUAAACGUUAUCCAACCUAGGGCAAUAUUCUAGUAAUUAAUGGAGCAACUCUAUAGCUAGCUCAUUCACAUUUCGGUUUAAUAUAUACAUGACAGGGCAGUCAAAUUGAGCAAUUAUCGUGUAAUUUCAUAGGACAUAUUGUAGUUUACAUUGCACUCUCCCUUUAUUCUGUUUCUUAGGAAAAGUGACAAUACAAACAUAAUACAAAAUUACUCUGUACAUAUGUAUACACAUGUCAACAUUGUUAUUCGACAAACAUCCAAAAAUUUCCUUUUUCUUCUCAUACAAGACUGUACAGGGUGACAACAUUCUUGACUUAUAUACAAUGUAUGUCUACAAUUGAUGAACGGAAUGCUAGUUUAUGACAAGGUAUUUUUUCACUUUGAAUCAUGAGAAGUAUUCAUUUAGAUAGAGCCUUCAAUAAUACUAGAUGUUAAAUGAAGGAAUAUGCUUAUACAUUAC